UGCCAGCCGCCGCGGUAACACGAACCGUACAAACGUUAUUCGGAAUUAUUGGGCUUAAAGGGUGCGUAGGCGGCGCUGUAAGUCGGGUGUGAAAUCCCACGGCUCAACCGUGGAAUUGCGCCCGAUACUGCAGUGCUUGAGGGAGACAGGGGUGAGUGGAACUGAUGGUGGAGCGGUGAAAUGCGUUGAUAUCAUCAGGAACACCGGUGGCGAAAGCGGCUCACUGGGUCUCUUCUGACGCUGAGGCACGAAAGCUAGGGUAGCGAACGGGAUUAGAUA
rnacentral:rRNA from 1 species